UAGGGAAUCUUCGGCAAUGGGGGGAACCCUGACCGAGCAACGCCGCGUGAGUUAAGAAGGUUUUCGGAUCGUAAAGCUCUGUUGUUAAGGAAGAACGAGUGUGAGAAUGGAAAGUUCAUGCUGUGACGGUACUUAACCAGAAAGGGACGGCUAACUACGUGCCAGCAGCCGCGGUAAUACGUAGGUCCCGAGCGUUGUCCGGAUUUAUUGGGCGUAAAGCGAGCGCAGGCGGUUAGAAAAGUCUGAAGUGAAAGGCAGUGGCUCAACCAUUGUAGGCUUUGGAAACUGUUUAACUUGAGUGCAGAAGGGGAGAGUGGAAUUCCAUGUGUAGCGGUGAAAUGCGUAGAUAUAUGGAGGAACACCGGUGGCGAAAGCGGCUCUCUGGUCUGUAACUGACGCUGAGGCUCGAAAGCGUGGGGAGCGAACAGG
rnacentral:rRNA from 1 species